GUCCUUGGUGGAGGCCAUCUCCUAUUUCUUCAAGGGGACAUUCAACUUUAUCCAACACAGUCGUCAGUAUGAACCCAUAAGGAGUAGGAUGAGCCUUGGAGCCAUUUAUGCCAUGUCCAGCAGCUUGACAAUGAAGGUAGGCCAGUUAAUCUGCUUUCCUCUCACAAGGCUUUCCAGAAGAACCAAGUCCAUGUAGUUAGCAGUAUGCCUUCUCUACUGUCUAGGAAGCAGACACUCGUUCACAAAUUCAAAUAGCACCUUGUGCUCAGGCUUCAUUUCACUCUUCUGCACAAAUCUUGCCUCUGGCACAUCUUCAGCUGACUGUGUGUCACAAAAGUUUUUGGCGAUUUGGAGAGCACUAGGAAGAUCAUCUAAACAAGGCAACCUCAGCCUAGUGUAGUCAUCAUAGCCCUCACAGGUAUGUCUAGAAUUGUCCCCAAUUUACGUGCAUCAGAUUGCACCUUCACUCCCCUAACCACACUGGUGACUAUCCCAUUUUUCACAGUGGCAUUUGCCAUGAACUCGAUUAGCUUCUUUCUUGCUAGCCUUCCAUCUAGUUGGAGAACCAUGUCCUUUCAACCUUGUGCAGAUAGGGCAUCCACCAACCAUAGAGAUGGACAUAUGGCCUACACCAAAAAGAAAAAAAAAAUCAUUUCUUAAGGCCUCACUUUCUAUGUUCAUUUGUGUUGAUCCCUGUAAGGCCUCACUUUCUAUGUUCAUUUGUGUUGAUCCCUGUAUCCCAUUCCUGCUAUGGCAUUCAGUCCCUUCAUAUAGUCAAGUUCAAACCUGUAUGAGGACAGACUUAAUGAAAGUGAAACUAGAUGGCAUAAACCAUCAUUUGUAUGAUAUGGAUGCCUAGCACUCUUUUAUAGCCUGUCAAUGAAAAGAAGUAAUAGGGUUGAGGGAUGCUUUUAUUGGUACUUGAAGUUGUGGUUGUUAACCAAUAAGACUGAUUAAAAAUAAAAAGCCUUUAAGAUUAUGAAGUAAGGUAUUCAAAAUUGAGAAGCCAAAAAUUUCAUCGUGAACAUAAAGUGAUUCUCUAUCUGAGAAUCCAACAAUAUGAAAUUAGCUUAAGUGUAGGUUCAUAACUCAAAACAACUUCCAACUUCUAGCUUCUGUGUUUCUCCGCAGCAUUCUUCUAAUCAUAUUAUCCAUUUUGUGGAAAGAAAAAACGUACCGAUGACAGUGCGAAAAGAGCUUUUUGAGGGGUAAUCUUGUCUUUUGGAAAGCUUUAUCCAGGUAUUAUUAUGCCACAUUGGAUGUGGGUAAAUAACACCAAGAUUUUUGAAAUUUAUACCGUUAUUAGCUAAUACCAAUAACCAAACAUUUGGUAAAUUUAAUCCGAAAUUUUAUACUAGACUGGAAUCCUAAUCCCGGUAACGAAACGGCACCUUAGUGUCGUCAAGUAACUUCUCCACUUGGUUUGUAUGCCAAUCAGUGAGUGAAGAUAUCUUUGUACUAAUGUACGUGUUCCCUUCAUAAUUCAUAUAAUUUUAGAUGUGUCUUUUUUGGUGAAGUAUAAUCAUAAAUGUCACUGAUGAAACAUUUGCCAAAGUUUUGAUAUUACAUCUGGAGAACUACAUGUCAAUUUACCUUUAUCAUCAGUUGAUAUUGCAUGAUCUGCUUAUAAGCUGAUGGUUUUGUUUCUUCUCUUUCAUUCAUUUAGGUUCAAAACCCAAAAGCAAACCUAAGAGGGAAAAAACUGAGGAAGAGAAGAAAUUUCGCAGAAGAGCUAAAUAUUUUCUGGUCACUCAACUGGUUGCAGUUUUAGUUUUUCUCUCUCCUCGGAGGAUCUGCUGAUGCUGAAGUGGAGUUUGAUGAAGAUGAUUAUGAAUGAGCAGUGCGCGUCUUGAUUUUAAUUUUUUGAGUUCAGUUAGGAGUAGUUUAGGCUCUUGAUGCACGUUGAGCAACUUCCCUCUUAUUAUAGUCCGGAAAAUUUUGAAAUUCUGCUCGGUGUACAAAUUGAUGAUUUGUGGAAUCACCGGAAUAAAUCUGAGCAUUUUCCUUUCAUAAAUCCUAGUGUGUCAUGCCCUCUUAAGAAAAAUGGGGCAAGGGACAAAUCACAAAUAUAAGAGAUGAAAAUCACAGUUACUCUAAAAAUUUUAUGAUGUGCUUUGAUCUUUUUGGUACUUAAGGUUGAUGGAGAUUGGAAAAUGGUUGAAGCAUUCAUGCUUUUGAGGUGGUUUCUUUAGUGGAGCUGUUAGAUAGUAUUUCCAAUUUAUGUGAACCUAUUUGACUGGAAACGACGUUUCAGAAAAAAUAUUAUUAUUCAAUUUGUAAAAACUCUUUAUAUUUUUUCAGUUAAAAGAUUUUCUUCAAAAAUUUAUUUUUCGGGUUAGGG
rnacentral:lncRNA from 1 species